AAAAUAUGUUGGCCAUUCUGCUCAUGUUACAAAUGUCCGCUGGUCACAUGACUUCCAAUGGGUAAUCAGUACGGGAGGUGCAGAUCAUUCUGUUUUUCAAUGGCGGUUUAUUCCAGAAGGUGUAACAACUGGAAUCCUUGAAGCAGCCCGUAUAGAUUGUGGCAUAGAUUCCUACAGUGAAGAAUCAGAUUCUGAUUUAUCUGAUGUGCCAGAAUUAGAUUCAGAUAUUGAGCAAGAAGCUCAAAUCAAUUAUGUUCGACAGGUUUACAAAGAAGAUCUACCUCAACUGAAACAGCAACGUAAAGAGAAAAGCCAUUCAGUGCCCUUCCUUAAGAGAGAGAGAGCCCCCGAUGACAGUUUAAAGCUGCAAUUUAUACAUGGUUAUAGAGGCUAUGAUUGUCGAAACAAUUUAUUCUACACACAGACUGGAGAAGUGGUUUAUCAUAUUGCUGCUGUUGCUGUGGUGUAUAAUAGACAGCAGCACACCCAAAGACUAUAUCUUGGUCAUGAUGAUGACAUCCUCAGUCUUGCCAUCCAUCCUAUGAAAGAUUAUGUUGCUACUGG